rnacentral:rRNA from 1 species
GACGAACGCUGGCGGCGUGCUUAACACAUGCAAGUCGAACGGAAAGGCCCUGCUUUUGUGGGGUGCUCGAGUGGCGAACGGGUGAGUAACAAGUGAGUAACCUACCCUUGACUUUGGGAUAACUUCAGGAAACUGGGGCUAAUACCGGAUAGGAGCUCCUGCUGCAUGGUGGGGGUUGGAAAGUUUCGGCGGUUGGGGAUGGACUCGCGGCUUAUCAGCUUGUUGGUGGGGUAGUGGCUUACCAAGGCUUUGACGGGUAGCCGGCCUGAGAGGGUGACCGGCCACAUUGGGACUGAGAUACGGCCCAGACUCCUACGGGAGGCAGCAGUGGGGAAUAUUGCACAAUGGGCGGAAGCCUGAUGCAGCAACGCCGCGUGCGGGAUGACGGCCUUCGGGUUGUAAACCGCUUUCGCCUGUGACGAAGCGUGAGUGACGGUAAUGGGUAAAGAAGCACCGGCUAACUACGUG